UAAAAACACCCAAACAAAAAAAAGAGAUGACCAAAAAAAAAAAAAAAAAAGGCCUCAUCUC
rnacentral:ribozyme from 1 species